AUUGAACGCUGGCGGCAGGCUUAACACAUGCAAGUCGAGCGGAGCGAGGGUGCUUGCACCUUAGCUUAGCGGCGGACGGGUGAGUAAUGCUUAGGAAUCUGCCUAUUAGUGGGGGACAACAUUCCGAAAGGAAUGCUAAUACCGCAUACGUCCUACGGGGGAAAGCAGGGGAUCUUCGGACCUUGCGCGAAUAGAUGAGCCUAAGUCGGAUUAGCGAGUUGGUGGGGUAAAGGCCUACCAAGGCGACGGUCUGUAGCGUGGCUGAGAGGAUGCGCCGCCUCCCUGGGAGUGAGUCACGUCCCAGACGCCGACGGGAGGAAGCAGUGGGGAAUAUUGGACAAUGGGCGUAAGCCUGAUCCAGCCAUGCCGCGUGUGUGAAGAAGGCCUUUUGGUUGUAAAGCACUUUAAGCGAGGAGGAGGCUACUAGUAUUAAUACUACUGGAUAGUGGACGUUACUCGCAGAAUAAGCACCGGCUAACUCUGUGCCAGCAGCCGCGGUAACAC
rnacentral:rRNA from 1 species